GACGAACGCUGGCGGCGUGCUUAACACAUGCAAGUCGAGCGGUAAGGCCUUUCGGGGUACACGAGCGGCGAACGGGUGAGUAACACGUGGGUGAUCUGCCCUGCACUCUGGGAUAAGCUUGGGAAACUGGGUCUAAUACCGGAUAUGACCGCAUGCCGCAUGGUGUGUGGUGGAAAGAUUUAUCGGUGCAGGAUGGGCCCGCGGCCUAUCAGCUUGUUGGUGGGGUAAUGGCCUACCAAGGCGACGACGGGUAGCCGACCUGAGAGGGUGACCGGCCACACUGGGACUGAGACACGGCCCAGACUCCUACGGGAGGCAG
rnacentral:rRNA from 1 species